rnacentral:rRNA from 1 species
AACGCGAAGAACCUUACCUGGGUUUGACAUGCACAGGACGCCGGUAGAGAUAUCGGUUCCCUUGUGGUCUGUGUGCAGGUGGUGCAUGGCUGUCGUCAGCUCGUGUCGUGAGAUGUUGGGUUAAGUCCCGCAACGAGCGCAACCCUUGUCUCAUGUUGCCAGCGCGUAAUGGCGGGGACUCGUGAGAGACUGCCGGGGUCAACUCGGAGGAAGGUGGGGAUGACGUCAAGUCAUCAUGCCCCUUAUGUCCAGGGCUUCACACAUGCUACAAUGGCCGGUACAAAGGGCUGCGAUGCCGUGAGGCUUAGCGAAUCCUUAAAAGCCGGUCUCAGUUCGGAUCGGGGUCUGCAACUCGACCCCGUGAAGUCGGAGUCGCUAGUAAUCGCAGAUCAGCAACGCUGCGGUGAAUACGUUCCCGGGCCUUGUA